CUAAAAACCCCGACUUCGGAAGGGGUGUAUUUAUUAGAUACAAAACCAAUGCCUUCGGGGCUCUUUGGUGAUUCAUGAUAACUAUACGAAUCGCACGGCCUUGCUCCGGCGAUGGUUCAUUCAAAUUUCUUCCCUAUCAACUUUCGAUGUUUGGGUAUUGGCCAAACAUGGUUGCCACGGGUAACGGAGGGUUAGGGCUCGGCCCCGGAGAAGGAGCCUGAGAAACGGCUACUACAUCCAAGGAAGGCAGCAGGCGCGCAGAUUACCCAAUCCCGACUCGGGGAGGUAGUGACAAUAAAUACUGAUACAGGGCCCUUUCGGGCCUUGUAAUUGGAAUGAGUACAAUUUAAAUCCCUUAACGAGGAACAAUUGGAGGGCAAGUCUGGUGCCAGCAGCCGCGGUAAUUCCAGCUCCAAUAGCGUAUAUUAAAGUUGUUGUGGUUAAAAAGCUCGUAGUUGAACCUUGGGCCUGGCUGGCCGGUCCGCCUCACCGCGUGCACUGGUCCGGCCGGGCCUUUCCCUCUGUGGAACCCCAUACUCUUCACUGGGCGUGGCGGGGAAACAGGACAUUUACUUU
rnacentral:rRNA from 1 species